ACCAAAAGACGAGGGAAGUCAAGUGUGGGAGGAGUUUAGAGAUCCUGGUUCUCUUGUCCUGUGAUGCAGGUGGCCAAUGCUGCAGGACUGGUCUUUUAGCUGCCGGAAGAGCUUGGAGAAUUCUUCGGGUACUGUGAGGACAGCAGCUAAGCUCAGACUAGGGUACAAAGGCCUCAACAAUUUGGCAGCAGGAGGCACAAGAGAAGGGCUUCUCCUCUACCACCCUGUCUGGUCAAUAAAGUCAUUGGAGGAUCUCCUGGUGGUUCCACAGGGACCUGUGCUCCAAUUUGAGGACACUGGGAGAAGGGUCUUAGUGUGGGGGGCCCAUCUCUAUGGAACUCCCUAUCACUGGAGGGCAGGCAAGCACCAGCGCAGCUGUUUCUGGCACCUUCUGAAGAUGUUCCAAGAAGCCUUCUUGCUGAAUUGGCAUGGUUUUAAUGCUGACCUGGGUGGGAUGCAUAGUUUUAUUCCUUUCCCUGUUUUAUCUUUUUUAUUCUUCACUGCUCUGGAACCUAACUAAAUAUGAAGCAGUAUACUCAUAUCGUAAAUCGAUAGUAAUAAAGAUGCCAUUUGCCAGUGACUUAGUUGUCCAAAAAUCUGGAGGGC